rnacentral:rRNA from 1 species
UACGAAGGGGGCUAGCGUUGUUCGGAAUUACUGGGCGUAAAGGGCGCGUAGGCGGUACUUCAAGUCAGGCGUGAAAGCCCCGGGCUCAACCUGGGAAUGGCACUCGAUACUGGCAAGCUGGAGUACGGUAGAGGAUGGUGGAAUUCCCGGUGUAGCGGUGAAAUGCGUAGAGAUCGGGAGGAACAUCUGUGGCGAAGGCGGCCAUCUGGACCAGUACUGACGCUGAGGCACGAAAGCGUGGGGAGCAAACAGG